GGUGGCGCCAAAAUCAAAAACAGACGCUACAGCACAUGGACUUCGCCAUUUUGCAUUGGACUGGAUCGUCAUCUCACUAGUUUACGAUCGCCAAAUUGUAGAUACAGCAUCAUUUCAUCGUCUAUACGGUGGGACAACCUGCUAGACAGGUUGAAGACAUCUGUAUCUACCUCAAAGAAGGCAUGGAGAGACACAUUAAAGAAUAUGUGAAUUGUGAAAUUGGUGAGUUGGGAAUUGCACAGACAGUGGAAGUUUUGGAAAACCUACUUGGUGUCACACAUGGGUGUGAAAUUACUUUUUGGACUCAUUUAUGCACUUAAACUGAACUACCAGAAGAACCUCAGGUGCACCUUUGACCUUUCAAAAAAUCCUAAUGGAACUGGACUUGAUACAACCAAGCAAUCACUGAAAGAUGCUUCAGUGAAUACCUGACAGACACGCUGAUGCAUCCCCCUCAAAGUGGGUACAUUUUUGUACAUUUACAAGUGAACUUUUUAACAUUAAAGGAAUAUUGCACUUUCAUUAAACAAAAAUACUGAUAAUUAACUGUCUGUCAUCCAAGAUGCUUGUCUUUUUUGUUCAGUCGGGAAGAAAUUAUGUUUUUUGAGAAAAACAUUCCAGGAUUUUUCUUAAUUUAAUAGACCUUAUUGGACCUCAACAGUUAUGUUUCAAAGCAGCUUUAAAGGGCUCUAAACGAUCCCAACCGAGGCAUAAGGGUUUAAUCUAUCCAAAAGAUUAUCAUUUUUGGCAAGAAAACUUUUAAAACACAACAACUUGUCUUGCAUUAUCCAUGUGACACACAGUGCGACAUUGUGUACUACGUAAUAAAUGUUUACACAUCACAAAUGUGAAACGCACAUUUGUUGACCAUUUUAAAUAAUAAACGGACCCAAAGACAUUAAUUAGUAUCAUUUCACAUUCAACAACAUCUGAACGCUCCUCUUUCUCCUCGCUUGUAAACACUGGAACGGUAGUUUCAGUUAUGUCAUGCUAGUGUGUCACACAGCUAGUGCAAAACGUUGUGAUUUAAAAGUCCUCUUUUAUUUUUAUUUUUGAAAAUGACAAUCGUUUAGCUAGAUAAGACCCUUAUGCCUUAUUUGGGAUAAUUUAGAGCCCAUUUAAAUCUGCAUUAAAACCGUAAACUUGAGGUUGAAUAAAGUCUUAAAUUGAGAAAAAUCCUGGAAUCUUUAACUCAAACUUUAUUUCUUCUUGACUGAACAAAGAAAAACAUAAACAUAUGGGGUUAGAAAAUUAUCGGGAUUUUUGUUUUAUUAAAUUGGAAUAUUGCUUUAACAAUUUUAAAAGUUAAAAGUUUUUGAAAAAUGUAAUUGAUGUAUAUCUAACAUGUAAUUAGAGAUGCAUGAAAAUUGUUAAUGGCACACAGCCACUCAAAACACUAAGCCAUGUGCCAUUUUUUUUUUCUUACCACCCAAUCAUUCUAAAUUAUUAUUAUUACAUCAUGUCACAGAUUUCUGAAAAUGUUAAAGUAAUGUUGUUGUCACUGAUUUAUGUCUACCUCGAGUUUUACAGGGUUUUUUGUAUUUCUGCAGCCUGUUUGCUCAAAAUGUUUGCACUUAUUUGUGGAAUGAGGUUGAUUGUGGCUGAAAUGUCUGAAACACACUUAUUUAUUUAUUUUUGCACACAAUACGAGGUGUAUAAGCCAUGGCUGUCAUGCUAGUUGUUAGCUGCUCUUUUUUUG